rnacentral:rRNA from 1 species
AUUGAACGCUGGCGGCAGGCCUAACACAUGCAAGUCGAGCGGAUGAAGGGAGCUUGCUCCUGGAUUCAGCGGCGGACGGGUGAGUAAUGCCUAGGAAUCUGCCUGGUAGUGGGGGAUAACGUCCGGAAACGGGCGCUAAUACCGCAUACGUCCUGAGGGAGAAAGUGGGGGAUCUUCGGACCUCACGCUAUCAGAUGAGCCUAGGUCGGAUUAGCUAGUUGGUGGGGUAAAGGCCUACCAAGGCGACGAUCCGUGACUGGUCUGAGAGGAUGAUCAGUCACACUGGAACUGAGACACGGUCCAGACUCCUACGGGAGGCAGCAGUGGGGAAUAUUGGACAAUGGGCGUAAGCCUGAUCCAGCCAUGCCGCGUGUGUGAAGAAGGUCUUCGGAUUGUAAAGCACUUUAAGUUGGGAGGAAGGGCAGUAAGUUAAUACCUUGCUGUUUUGACGUUACCAACAGAAUAAGCACCGGCUAACUUCGUG